CUACUUACCUGGCACAGAAGAUCACAAAGGUGGUUAUCCCAGGGCGAGGCUUAUGCGUUGCAAUCCAGAUGUGCUGACCCCUGUCCGUUCCCCAAAUGUGGGAAACUCAACUGCAUAAUUUGUGGUAGUGGGAGACUGUGUUCAUGCUCUUCCCUG
rfam:Otolemur garnettii contig002158, whole genome shotgun sequence.